rnacentral:rRNA from 1 species
GUACCGUGAGGGAAAGGCGAAAAGAACCCCGGCGAGGGGAGUGAAAAAGAACCUGAAACCGUGUACGUACAAGCAGUGGGAGCACGCUUAGGCGUGUGACUGCGUACCUUUUGUAUAAUGGGUCAGCGACUUAUAUUCUGUAGCAAGGUUAACCGAAUAGGGGAGCCGAAGGGAAACCGAGUCUUAACUGGGCGUUAAGUUGCAGGGUAUAGACCCGAAACCCGGUGAUCUAGCCAUGGGCAGGUUGAAGGUUGGGUAACACUAACUGGAGGACCGAACCGACUAAUGUUGAAAAAUUAGCGGAUGACUUGUGGCUGGGGGUGAAAGGCCAAUCAAACCGGGAGAUAGCUGGUUCUCCCCGAAAGCUAUUUAGGUAGCGCCUCGUGAAUUCAUCUCCGGGGGUAGAGCACUGUUUCGGCAAGGGGGUCAUCCCGACUUACCAACCCGAUGCAAACUGCGAAUACCGGAGAAUGUUAUCACGGGAGACACACGGCGGGUGCUAACGUCCGUCGUGAAGAGGGAAACAACCCAGACCGCCAGCUAAGGUCCCAAAGUCAUGGUUAAGUGGGAAACGAUGUGGGAAGGCCCAGACAGCCAGGAUGUUGGCUUAGAAGCAGCCAUCAUUUAAAGAAAGCGUAAUAGCUCACUGGUCGAGUCGGCCUGCGCGGAAGAUGUAACGGGGCUAAACCAUGCACCGAAGCUGCGGCAGCGACGCUGAUGCGUUGUUGGGUAGGGGAGCGUUCUGUAAGCCUGCGAAGGUGUGCUGUGAGGCAUGCUGGAGGUAUCAGAAGUGCGAAUGCUGACAUAAG